rnacentral:rRNA from 1 species
GAAUUUUGGGCAAUGGGCGAAAGCCUGACCCAGCAACGCCGCGUGAAGGAUGAAGUAUUUCGGUAUGUAAACUUCGUAAGAAUGGGAAGAAUAAAUGACGGUACCAUUUGUAAGGUCCGGCUAACUACGUGCCAGCAGCCGCGGUAAUACGUAGGGACCAAGCGUUGUUCGGAUUUACUGGGCGUAAAGGGAGCGUAGGCGGCGUGUCAAGUCAGUUGUGAAAUCUCCGAGCUUAACUCGGAACGGUCAACUGAUACUGUCAUGCUAGAGUGCAGAAGGGGCAAUCGGAAUUCUUGGUGUAGCGGUGAAAUGCGUAGAUAUCAAGAGGAACACCUGAGGUGAAGACGGGUUGCUGGGCUGACACUGACGCUGAGGCUCGAAAGCUAGGGUAGCAAACGGG